UCCCAUUAACAAAUAAAUAAAAUUGGAUUCUAGAUCUUCCGAUCCAAGAUCGUUUCUUGCUCUCAUAGUAAUUUCUUUGCUUACAGUCACUUUCCCUCCUGCCUGUCUUUUUGGAAUGUCGUAUAGCCCUGCGCACUUAGCUCCAGUGUUGAUCUCCUUGUAACCAUGUCUUUGUAAUAGCUAUAAAAUCAUGCCCGUCAACUUAGAAAUGUGCUAUUAAUUUGUUGAUUUUGUUCUGAAUACAAUGAGCACGCAAGCAAAGAGCCAUGAAUUUAGCUUUAUCACUUGAUUUCACCUCUUGACACUAUUUACAGCUGUUUUCUGUUUGUACAUGCUGUCUUUUCCAGUACCACGCUGAGUAUUGUUCUCGCGAUAGUUCUUUCGUAUCAGUCUGGGCGAAUGUGCUCGUGUGGUCUCAGGAGUUGCGGAGGUCACGGCUCUGGGACAGCCGUUUCAUCGCCCUAUGCUGCAGGAAAAAAGCAAUGAAAGUGCCGUUAAUGUUUUGCACGGCGAACUGCUGCACACUAACCGGUCUCACACCGUUACCAUCACCUUGCCCUUGUGAAGGCAGAUAUGGAUAAGGUUCUCAAAGCUGAUAGAAGAUUGAAACCACUUUAAUCCUGUGACGAUGAACCUGCCCCGGAAGAGAGAGCCCAGAGAAUUGCCAAAGCUGUCCGCAAACAGUCAAUAGAAGUGAAGGAAAAUUGGGAACAACUGAAAAUCCGUGGUAGCAACUGGCAGAAACAGGUGGAAAAGGCGUUGGAGAAACUUCAAGAACUGCAAAAAGUUCUGGAUGAUCUUGAGGCUCAUGUGAUAACAGCUGAGGGGGUCCACACUGAUUGGCAACCUGGUAAGGACUAUCUUCAAAAUCUGAGAUUGGGUUUUGAAAGACAGCAGCCUUUGUUUUGGAGAGAUAAUGGGAACUGCAGAUGCUGGAGAAUGCGAGAUAACAACGUGUGGAGCUGGAUGAAGACAGCAGGUCAAGCAGCAUCUUAGGAGCACAAAA